GAUUGCUCUGGAUAGGGAUUGUAGCUUUGAUCACAUAUCUGUUGAUGAGGACAUGACCAAGAGCAAGGGCAAGGAUCCACUUGAAGGACUUGGAGGACCUAUGACAAGGGCUAGAGAAAGGAAAUCCAAGGAAGCUCUUCAACAAGUGUUGUCCAUACUAUUUGAAUACAAGCCCAAGUUUCAAGGAGAAAAGUCCAAGGUUGUGAGUUGUAUCAUGGCCCAAAUGGAGGAGGACUGAAUGACACCACUUUGUCUCAAUUUUAAAGUGUUUAGUUUGUCUAAAUAAUGGCCCAAUCCUUGUAAAGUUGGCUGACCAAAAUAUGUUUUGGGUUAAUCAACUAAAAGGGCUUUAGUUAGGUUUAGUUCAAGUUGUAAUAAGGGCCCAAUUGGCAACCUAGGCAUCAGCCUUUUGGGAGACCAAAUGGUGGCUGAAGUUGGCUGUUGGGGGUGACUUUUGGUUGCCACAAUUUCAGUUACACUCAGCCAUUAAGUUUUUUUUAAUUCCCUAGGUUAAUGGCAUUAAAUUAUUUUAAUUCUAGGUUAGUGGGUCAUUACUAAAAUCUGCUGUAAAGCUUCUAUAUAAGCUGAACCAUUUUAUCAAUAAACACAAGUUGAGUUUUAUUCAGAAAAUUAGAGUUUAUCUCUUUUAUCUUAGUGAGAGUGAUUCUCCUAAAUUCUUGAGUGAUUCAAGAACACAUUGGCUGUAUCAAAGGACUUUCACAACCUUUGUGUGUUGCCCUCGCUGGAAAGAGUGAUUCUUUCCUUCCUUUCAUCAUCACCCUUGUUCUUUCAAACCACAAUUCCAGAAAAUCCACCUCUGCCCAGAAUUAUCUCGUGGCCAUAACUCCCAUUUUACGCACUCAAAUUAAGUGAUUCUUGAGCCUAAAUUGAAUUUCAAAACGAGACCUUUCACCUCGUUUUGGAAUCACCUCAUUUGGAGCCCUGUAGCUUCAGUUAUUGCCAUUUCUAUAUUUCUGUUCAGCCACCACUUAACCUACGUUUUACCAUCCCAUUCAUCCAUUUUAUGCCAAGAACCACCUUAUUAAGACCCACGAAAUUAGCCACCUUAUUUUCCAUCCUUUCCUUAAUCAAUUUCCGCAUUUUCCAUCAAGGUUUAAUCCUAGACGAUCCUAAGUCAGCCCUUGUGCCAUGAGGGUUCAUAUCAUUUGGUAUCAGAGCUCCGGUUCUAGGAUCAACACUUCCUUUGCUGGAAAUAUUGGGUAGCAUCCUUCUUUAUUCUCUUUGCCAUUUAUAUUACCUUCUUAUUCAUAUAUUUUUUUUUUAGGCUGAACCAUUGCAAAAGUUAAGCCUUUUGAUCUCUUUGAUAUAAAAAAAAAAAGAAGCAGAAUUUCGUAUAAGCAAAAUUUAAAAAAAAAAUUGGGCUGAAUGGUUCAUGCUUGAAGAACUUUUAAAAAAAAAUCUCUUUAAGGUAAUAUAUUGGUUGCAUGAAGGAUUGUUACUUGAAUUCCUAAAUUUUGAAUUUUAUUUCCUUCAUUUGUGCCUAAAAACAUUGUUAGCCUUUUUCUUGGUUAACCUUUUCCUUGUCUCUAGCCUUACCUUACACAUAUUGGUGAAUUGUUCUUUGUUGUGGCCAUAAUCUCUUGAAUUGCCUAAGAACUCAAGGGGAAUUAGAGUGGUAAAAGGCAAGAGUGUUUCAUUAGAGAAAAGCCAUAAUUGUGUGAUACACUUGAGUGGGUGAGGUAUUCAAACAGAAACUAUAAUUGUCUUGUUACGUUUGAUUUGUUUAUUUGAGAUGUCAGGUACUAAUCCUAAUGAUGAAGUGGGGCUUUCGCAAUUCCAAAUGCAAGCUUUGAUGCAACAUUUGGAGAGGUUAAUGAAACAACGAGAUGAUGCGCUCCAUGAGAGGUUGGAUCAAAUGGAGAAUAGAGAUCAUAAUGAAGAAGAAAGGAGGAGAAGAGGGAAUGAUGGUGUUCCUAGACAAAACCGAAUUGAUGGUAUUAAACUCAACAUUCCUCCAUUUAAAGGAAAGAAUGAUCCGGAGGCCUACGUGGAGUGGGAGAUGAAAAUAGAGCAUGUUUUCUCAUGCAACAACUAUGAGGAGGACCAGAAGGUGAAGCUUGCCGCCACGGAGUUUUCCGACUAUGCUCUUGUGUGGUGGAACAAGCUACAAAAGGAGAGAGCAAGAAAUGAAGAGCCAAUGGUUGAUACAUGGACGGAGAUGAAAAAGAUCAUGAGGAAGCGGUAUGUGCCGGCUAGUUACUCAAGGGACUUGAAAUUCAAGCUCCAAAAACUAACCCAAGGCAACAAGGGGGUUGAGGAGUAUUUCAAGGAAAUGGAUGUGCUCAUGAUUCAAGCAAAUAUUGAAGAAGAUGAGGAGGUAACUAUGGCUCGAUUUCUUAAUGGUUUGACUAAUGAUAUCCGUGAUAUUGUUGAGCUGCAGGAGUUUGUUGAAAUGGAUGAUUUGCUUCACAAAGCAAUCCAAGUGGAGCAACAAUUAAAAAGGAAGGGAGUGGCUAAGAGGAGUUUUACCAACUUUGAUUCUUCUGGUUGGAAACACAAAGGUAAGAAAGAUGGGGCUGCUACUUCUAGUAGUUCCACACCUAUCCCAUCAAAAACUCGCUCAAAUUCCCAAGAGGAACCCUCUAAAAGGAGUAGAGAUGUGAAGUGUUUCAAGUGCCAAGGCCUAGGACACUAUGCUUAUGAGUGCCCUAACAAAAGGUCCAUGGUUCUUAGAGAUGGAGAAUAUAUAAGUGAAUCUGAUGUUGAAGAGGAAGAGGAGAGUGAGUACGUAGAGGAAGAGGAGACUCCGGAGGGAGAUUUGUUGAUGAUUAGGCGGUUACUUGGUGGUCAAUUGAAGCAUGAGGAGGAGAGCCAAAGAGAAAACAUCUUUCACACUAGAUGUUUAAUCAAUGGCAAGGUGUGCAUGGUGAUCAUUGAUGGAGGUAGUUGCACCAAUGUGGCUAGUGCUAGAUUAGUGUCAAAGCUAAAUUUAGCUACUAAACCACAUCCUAGGCCAUACAAACUUCAAUGGCUUAGUAAGGAUGGGAAGGUGCAAGUGAGGCAGCAAGUGGAAGUGGACGUUUCCAUUGGGAAAUACAAUGAUAAGGUACUUUGUGAUGUUGUUCCUAUGGAGGCCAGUCACUUACUUUUGGGGAGACCAUGGCAAUUUGAUAAAAGAGCCAAUCAUGACGGUUACACCAACAAGAUCUCUUUCAUGCACCAAGACAAAAAGAUUGUGCUCAAGCCAUUGAGUCCACAAGAAGUGUGUGAGGAUCAAAAGAAAAUGAGAGAAAAACUUCUUCAAGAGAAAAAAGAAAAAGAAAAAGUGAGCAAAACACUUGAGAGUGAGAAAAAGAGGGAAACACUUGAGAGGAAAAAGAGUGAACAAAAGAAGAGUGAAACACUUGAAGUGAGGGAGAGCUAUUUAGCCACCAAAAGUGAGGUCAAGAGGUUGUUUCGUGCUAAACAGUCACUAUAUAUCUUGUUUUGCAAAAAUCAGAUUUUGACCACUAACACUUUUGAUGAUUUUGAAGUUGUUUAUGGUUUUAACCCACUAACUCCUCUUGAUCUUUUGCCUAUGCCUAAUGUUUCUGUUUUUAAGCAUAAAGAAGGUCAAGCAAAGGCGGACUAUGUGAAGAAGCUUCAUGGGAGAGUCAAAGAUCAAAUUGAGAGGAAAAAUAAAAGCUAUGCUAAACAAGCCAACAAAGGAAGAAAGAAGGUUGUCUUCGAACCCGGAGAUUGGGUUUGGGUGCACAUGAGAAAAGAAAGGCUUCCGGAACAGAGGAAAUCAAAGCUUCAACCAAGGGGAGAUGGACCAUUUCAAGUGCUUGAAAGAAUCAAUGACAAUGCUUACAAAGUUGAGCUGCCCGGUGAGUAUAAUGUUAGUUCCACCUUCAAUGUCUCUGAUUUACCUCUUUUUGAUGCAGAUGGAGAAUCCGAUUUGAGGACAAAUCCUUCUCAAGAGGGAGAGAAUGAUGAGGACAUGACCAAGAGCAAGGGCAAGGAUCCACUUGAAGGACUUGGAGGACCUAUGACAAGGGCUAGAGAAAGGAAAUCCAAGGAAGCUCUUCAACAAGUGCUGUCCAUACUAUUUGAAUACAAGCCCAAGUUUCAAGGAGAAAAGUCCAAGGUUGUGAGUUGUAUCAUGGCCCAAAUGGAGGAGGACUGAAUGACACCACUUUGUCUCAAUUUUAGAGUGUUUAGUUUGUCUAAAUAAUGGCCCAAUCCUUGUAAAGUUGGCUGACCAAAAUAUGUUUUGGGUU
rnacentral:lncRNA from 1 species